AACGCUCCCUGCUCUAAAGAUUUGAUGUACAUUGGAUGAUGCAUGGUCCCAAAGCUUCUAAAGUUCAAGCUAUAUUUGCAGCUGAAUGGGACAGUAAAUGUCAAGAUCAAUCCUUUCAUUUAUACAUGAGGAAGGCUCAGAAAAAUUAAAUGACUUCCUCCUCAAACCAGAUUGUUGCCACUAACAAUUCAGUUCAGUUCAAUCUAAGAAAUAUUUACUGAAUACUUACCAGUUAUGGAGAUGCUCUGCUACUGUGUUGUAAAAUAUAACGAGCAGAUUAAUUUGGGGCAAAAAUAAAAUCGCCUACAUGAAAUUAUGAAGAGUGAGA
rnacentral:lncRNA from 1 species